rnacentral:lncRNA from 1 species
CACACACACCCAUCUUUUUUUACUAUAUUUUACUCACACACACCCACAAUUAUUAAUUUACAAAUCAUCAAAAUUCAAAAUAAUUCAAACAACUCAUUAAACAAUUGUAAAAAUUCACAAAUCAAUUUGCUGAGAAUUCUGGAAUGGUAUUGGGAGUCCUAGUGGCGCAUGGAACCACGCGCCGUUAUAAGAAAGGCUGGAGAUUGGUAGAUCUGGACUGAUUUCUUCUUUUCCUUCUUCUUGUGCUGGCAGUGAAGGAUUUAGUUACCUGCAAAAGAAAAUUUUUAUAGGAGCAAAAAUCAUCAAUUUUUUUCUUCUGAUUCUCUCUCUCAGUUUCGUCUCUCUAUUUUUUUUUACUGCAGAUGGUCACUACUACCACAAAUGAAAGAGGUAACGGCUGGAGUAAACGGGGUUGUUGGUUGGUGGCUGGAGAAGGGUGGAUCCACGGUGCAAGAAGAAGCAGCCGCUGGUUAUGAUGAGGAUAUGCUGUGAAGGACGUUGUUACUGGGAGGAGGAGAAGUCACUGCUUUACUGGCAUAGUUGUGAUGUUUCGGCCAAGAGAGGGUCCGAUUUGGAAGGGUCUACUUUCAGUGGAGAAGAAGAAGGGAAAUGACGUUGGGCAGUGAGGUAUUAGGUUGGAAAUGGGGUUUGGUCCAUGGUGGUAGUGAUGAUUGAGAAGAGAAAGGAAGGAGAUGUUGUGGGUGGUUUUGGUUUGAAGUUGUAGAUGCUGACUUGAGGAGCUGGCGUUCACGGUGGCUGAGGGAAAAACUCUGGUGGUGCUGCUGUCACAGUCGUCUAUGGUAGCAACGAGGAGGAACCUUUAGGCUGAUCUUGAUGUUGAGGCUGGUCUAUUGUGAGAAUGGUUUAUAGGUUAUGAUGGUGAGAGAGGUUGAAGAGGAUGCUGAAGCCUUAUGGUCGAAUGUUGUGCUGCGUGAUGAAUGGGUAGUGGGUGGUGGUUGUCUUGGCAAUAGAGAGGGAAGUCUAGUGGUGGUCUGAUGUGAAAGAGGCAGUAGGUUGAAGAGCUGAGGUAUAUGGUGAAUGGCAUUUUUGCUUGGUUUGGACAUGCAGCUGUAGUGACGGGGAAGAGACAAUGAAAGGGGCAAAAAUUGUUUUCCAGGGUUGACGACAGCUGAUCGAGGUUUGUUUAGGUUUAAGGUUUUUUGUGCUGUGGAGGUGUGGGGAGAGUAUGUGUGAAUAUCUUUAUUUUUUUAUUUUUUUUUAAAU